GUGACAGAAGAGAGUGAGCACUCAUGGUCUUCCUGCAAAUAGUUUAUUUUGAUAUGCAUGAAGCUAUGCGUGCUCACCCUCUAUCUGUCAU
rnacentral:pre_miRNA from 2 species